rnacentral:rRNA from 1 species
AUACGUAGGGAGCGAGCGUUGUCCGGAAUUACUGGGCGUAAAGGGUGCGUAGGCGGCAGGGCAAGUCAGAUGUGAAAUCCCCGGGCUUAACUCGGGAGUUGCAUUUGAAACUGCUUUGCUUGAGUGCAGGAGAGGAAAGCGGAAUUCCUAGUGUAGCGGUGAAAUGCGUAGAUAUUAGGAGGAACACCAGUGGCGAAGGCGGCUUUCUGGACUGUAACUGACGCUGAGGCACGAAAGCGUGGGGAGCAAACAGGAUUAGAUACCCUGGUAGUCCACGCUGUAAACGAUGGAUACUAGGUGUGGGGGAGAUACAACCUCCGUGCCGCAGCAAACGCAAUAAGUAUCCCGCCUGGGGAGUACGGUCGCAAGGCUGAA